UCUACAUAGCCUGCCCAGUGCAAAAGAGGAGAAGCCCAUAAUCAAGAUGUUUGACAACAGCAUAUCAUCCUCAGGACUACGGGGGGACAAAGGGCAUUGCCAGGGCUUGAGAGAAGUGAUCUCAGCGAUCAUCAGGUCUAUACCCACCCUGCUCAUCCUCAUCAAGACCUUGAGUCCUCUCGACAAUAUCCUUGACAAGGGUCACUCCUCCGAGAGCCUGGACCAUUCUAAGCAGCUAUGUUCAAAAGCUUUCCAAGUCUUCACUUUUGAGUUCGCCUAAAAUAAAUCUAAUCUCACUUCCA